UGCAGUCGAGCGGGCCCUUCGGGGUCAGCGGCAGACGGGUGAGUAACGCGUGGGAACGUGCCCUUCGGUUCGGAAUAACUCAGGGAAACUUGAGCUAAUACCGGAUACGUGCGAGAGCAGAAAGGUUUAUCUGCCGAAGGAUCGGCCCGCGUCUGAUUAGCUAGUUGGUGAGGUUACGGCUCACCAAGGCGACGAUCAGUAGCUGGUCUGAGAGGAUGAUCAGCCACACUGGGACUGAGACACGGCCCAGACUCCUACGGGAGGCAGCAGUGGGGAAUAUUGGACAAUGGGGGCAACCCUGAUCCAGCCAUGCCGCGUGAGUGAUGACGGCCUUAGGGUUGUAAAGCUCUUUUCUCCGGGACGAUAAUGACGGUACCGGAGGAAUAAGCCCCGGCUAACUUCGUGCCAGCAGCCGCGGUAAUACGAAGGGGGCUAGCGUUGCUCGGAAUCACUGGGCGUAAAGGGCGCGUAGGCGGCUGAUUUAGUCGAGGGUGAAAGCCCGUGGCUCAACCACGGAAUGGCCUUCGAUACUGAUUGGCUUGAGACCGGAAGAGGACAGCGGAACUGCGAGUGUAGAGGUGAAAUUCGUAGAUAUUCGCAAGAACACCAGUGGCGAAGGCGGCUGUCUG
rnacentral:rRNA from 1 species